AGAACGAACGCUGGCGGCAUGCCUAAUACAUGCAAGUCGAACGAACUCUUCGGAGUUAGUGGCGCACGGGUGCGUAACGCGUGGGAAUCUGCCCCUUGGUUCGGAAUAACAGUUGGAAACGACUGCUAAUACCGGAUGAUGACGAAAGUCCAAAGAUUUAUCGCCAAGGGAUGAGCCCGCGUAGGAUUAGCUAGUUGGUGAGGUAAAGGCUCACCAAGGCAACGAUCCUUAGCUGGUCUGAGAGGAUGAUCAGCCACACUGGGACUGAGACACGGCCCAGACUCCGUACGGGAGCAGCGAGGUAGGGAAUUAGGUACGAAGUAGGUACGGAACGAACGUCGA
rnacentral:rRNA from 1 species